rnacentral:misc_RNA from 1 species
AAAAAAAAAAAAAAAAAAAACAUGUAUGCUAGUGGGUGGGUGCAGAGAGAGAGAUAGAAGAUGAAGAAAAAAAACAAAAAGGCUAGCCUGAGGUGGGAUGAAAUAAGUAGAAAAUAAGCCAGAAAAAAAAUUACCUGGAGAGUGCAUAGCAGAGGCCUUUGAUGAAGCUGGAGCAUCAGGAUGUGAUUAAGCUUAUUGUCCCUUUCUUCUUCUUUGGCAUUUUAAAUCCUAAAUUAAAUGCCGAAAAUUUCUUUCUAAAAAAUAUUGAGAAAAUUGUGCAUGUGAACUCAUUAAUUUUCAUGUUUGGAUGUAAGUUUAUUUUGUUAUAUUUGAUUGUCUUUGUUAUCAAAUUGUGUGCUAAAAUAAGCACCCUAAUUUACUUAGAUAACUUUUAUUUAGAUUGCAGAUUUUUCACUUACCAGUUUUUUCCUAAUUAGUGAUAAUGUUAAUCACAUCUCUAGUAAGGUGAUGAGUUGAACUAACUGUAAGUCAUAAUUUUUUUUUUUUGUUAAUUAAGUGAGUAAGAAUAAUUAUAUUGCUAUCAAUUAAUAUAACUUUCAAAUAAUUAAAAUAUAUAAAAUAAAAUAACAACAAAGAAUGCCAAUUUUUUUAGACAUUUCCAACAAAAAACUUCAUUUUAGAAAAAAAUUCUUAACCGAAUAUUUUAUUACAGUUAUGCAGAUACAAAACAUUAUCAUUUCCAAAUAAUCUCUAAAAAAUCAGAUGUCUAUUCUUAUGGUGUUGUGCUUUUAGAGAUAAAUAUUUGAGAGAAUGUCUUGUGACGAUAAAGAUUUUAACAUCAUUGAAUGGUAUGACAAUUAUUGACAACAUACUACACCAAUGCAAUUAAAAUAUUUUAUAUAUAAGCAAAUAAAUUAUUGACUUUUUUUGAAAAUUUAAAUUGGUAAACAAAAUAUAUUUUUUAUUUAAUUGAAAACCGAUAAUAAAAAAUAUGUGAGUAAACUAAUAUAGUUCUUAUAAUUCCAACAUAGAGUUCUAUAAGUACUCUUGGCCUAUUAAUUUGUAAAUAGUUCUUAUUAUUAAAAUACAUUUACAAAUAUAUAAAUAAAGUUAACAUUACAAUAUUGAAAAAAUUAAAACUUGAUUAACUAAUAAAUACUUUUUUAUCAAUAUUUAGUAAAUAAAUCCAAUUAAACUAGUUUUGAGUAAUUAAUAAUAUACGGCUCUUGUUGAUUCCAAAUUAAGAAAUUAUGAAAUACAUGAUUUCUUGUACUAUAAUUUCCAUGUAUAAACUUUCAUAGUUUCAACCACCAAAGAAAGAUGGAAAAUCUUAACAUAUCUAUCUAUAUGUCCCAAUGAAAGAUUAAAAUUUGGCAUAACUUUUUUACCAUUAUUAUAUUAUAGGAUACAUAUAAUUGGAAAUUUUGAAAGAAAUACACCUACAGAGCAAAUAUGAGAUCGGAAAAGAUAAAUUCUUACACAAUACCAUAUAUAAUAUUUAUUUUUUAAGAAAAUUAUGAUUUACCUUUUCUAUAUACGUCAUAAUUUUCAUAAAAAAAUGUAAUAUUAUAUAUAACAUUAUGUAACAAUUUAUUGUCUUUUUAAUCUCAUAUUUGCUCUCUGCAGGCAUAAUUUCUUCAAGAACUUCAAUUAUCUACAUAGCAUAAUAUAAUAACCGUAAAAUGAUUACAUCAAUUAUGUAAUCUUUCAUUGUCAUAUAUACAUAGAAAGAUAUACAAAACAUUAAAAAUUUAUAUACGAUAAUUAUAACACAUGAAAUAAUGUAUUUCCUUUAACCUAUAUCACAACUUCUUAAUUUGAAAUCAAGAAGAGACAUAUAUUCUUCAUUUUUCAAAACUAGUUCAAUUUGAUUUCUUGCUUAAACAUAUAAAAUGAAGUAUUCGUUAUUUAAUAAAACUUUUCUAUUUUCUAAUAUAUUAAUAAUUAUAAGUACAUUCACAUUUUUGAACAUGAAUUCUAAUAUUAAAAACUAUCUUCUAAAAUAAAUUAAAAGUCCGAUUUUCAAAACAACAUAUGUUCAUUAUAGAAAUUACAUAAAUUCACUCACAUAUUUUUUUUACU